rnacentral:ncRNA from 1 species
CAUGUAUAAUCGCAAACCGUUCGAAAGAGCGGGACGCAAAGUCAGGAAUCUACAGCACUCUAAAGGUGCCAUGAUCGUCCGGCCGCCAUG